rnacentral:rRNA from 1 species
AUUGAACGCUGGCGGCAGGCCUAACACAUGCAAGUCGAGCGGAGCGGCGGACGGGCGAGUAAUGCCUAGGAAUCUGCCUGGUAGUGGGGGAUAACGUCCGGAAACGGGCGCUAAUACCGCAUACUAUCAGAUGAGCCUAGGUGGGAAUAGCUAGUUGGUGGGGUAAAGGCAUACCCAGGCGACGAUCCGUAACUGGUCCGAGAGGAUGAUCAGUCACACUAGAACUGAGACACGGUCCAGACUCCUACGGGAGGCAGCAGUGGGGAAUAUUGGACAAUGGGCGAAAGCCUGAUCCAGCCAUGCCGCGUGUGUGAAGAAGGUCUGCGGAUUUUGAAGCACUUUAAGUUUGAAGGCGUUACCAACAGAAUAAGCACCGGCUAACUUCGUGCCAGCAGCCGCGGUAAUAC